CAGAUACACAGGUAUAAAAGAACCACAGACUAAACACAGAGUCUCAUACAGAGACCAAGACAUGAGGAAGCUGCUACUGCUGGCUUUGGCUUUGGGGUGUGCAGCGGCUGUUCCAGUGAAGCAGGAUGGAGCGUUGUUGCAUGAAGUUUUCCAACCCCACUCCAGACCCUGGCAGGUCUACACUAAGGGGGGCUGGUAUGGGGAGGGAAGGUGCAGUGGUGCCCUCAUCAAUGAGUGGUGGGUGCUUACCGCUUGGAACUUUGUCGAACCUGGCCACACUAUAGUUUCUCUGGGGGAGCAUGACCUGACAGUGGAGGAAGGGACAGAGCAACACAUCUGGGUGGCCAGAUAUGUGCAGCAUGGGCCAUAAGCACGAGGUCCCUCUCACAGCCUGGCAAUGGUGAAGCUGUCAGAGCCUGCCCGGUUCACUCAGCAUGUCAUGCCCGUAGCCAUACCCACACGCUGCACUCAGCUCCAUGAGAAGUGUUUGGUCAGCGGCUGGGGCUCCACCGUACCGGGACAGGACGAGCCCAAACUAAUCCUGAAGUGUGAAACACAGCGGGUCAUUGAUGACAAGAUGUGCCAGACAGCCUUUCCUCUUUAUUGGAUUGAACAUGCAUUCUGUGCUAAAACCAUCAUCUUAACCGACAACUGCCUGGUCAGUACAUCAACAGCACAGUGCUUUGCAAACAU